rnacentral:rRNA from 1 species
AUUGAACGCUGGCGGCAGGCCUAACACAUGCAAGUCGAGCGGAUGAAGGGAGCUUGCUCCUGGAUUCAGCGGCGGACGGGUGAGUAAUGCCUAGGAAUCUGCCUGGUAGUGGGGGAUAACGUCCGGAAACGGGCGCUAAUACCGCAUACGUCCUGAGGGAGAAAGUGGGGGAUCUUCGGACCUCACGCUAUCAGAUGAGCCUAGGUCGGAUUAGCUAGUUGGUGGGGUAAAGGCCUACAAGGCGACGAUCCGUAACUGGUCUGAGAGGAUGAUCAGUAACACUGGAACUGAGACACGGUCCAGACUCCUACGGGAGGCAGCAGUGGGGAAUAUUGGACAAUGGGCGAAAGCCUGAUCCAGCCAUGCCGCGUGUGUGAAGAAGGUCUUCGGAUUGUAAAGCACUUUAAGUUGGGAGGAAGGGCAGUAAGUUAAUACCUUGCUGUUUUGACGUUACCAACAGAAUAAGCACCGGCUAACUUCGUG